UAGUUAAGCAAUUGACUGCCGAAGACAGUAGGUGCCGUAAGGCAUAAGGUGAAUACGCCUACCGAGGAACAGCAAAUUCAUAAACAUUGAAUUUUGAACCUCUGUGUCUGUCGGACACGGAGGUUUUUCUAAAUCUGG
rfam:Hespellia stercorisuis DSM 15480 genome assembly, contig: EJ65DRAFT_scaffold00027.27